rnacentral:lncRNA from 1 species
UUACUAGAUGCUCAGAAGAUAUUCUCAGUCUUCUCAAGAGCAACAGCAUAUGGUAUAAAAGAGCAGUUCCAGAAUGGCUCGAGAGUCACUGAAACCAAGCGAGCAGAGAAAAGGCGAGAUUUGAAUGUUCUGUAAAUCAUCUAAGUCAAUCCUUGUCCUGAGCUACUCUCGGGGAUGUAGUUGUUUGGUAUCAGUAUCCUAAGACCUGCAACAUAUUUAAACAGAAGUUAACAUAACUGUUCACUGAAUGGAGCUACCUGAAAAUUCACAACUGCCAGAGAACUUCGUGCUGUCAGAGGAAAAGGACAGACAUUUCAACAGUCCAUUUCUGGCUCUUGGUCUCACCUUUGGGUAAGUGAGUAUUUUAGUGCGUCAUGGUACAGAAGACACAUGGGACAGAAGACAAGACAGAAGACAAAUAAUCCUGUUCAACCUACAAAAGGCUCUCACAGUAGCAUUCAAAAAGAAAAGGAGGAUGUUUUGAACUUCUACUGGAAGACUGACAUCACACUUAAAGAUGAUAUGAGGAGUGAUAUCGGGCUGCUGCAGCCAGGGACAUUCAUCGGCGUAGCCCAGUGGAGACUUCACUUCCUACACACAGGUUUGGGAAAAGCCCAUUUGUUUCUGAACAAUUACAAAUUCAAAAUGUACAGGGCUUUAAUAUGCUAAUAUUGUCACAAUGAUUUUUUUUUUUAAAUUUAUGAAAGAAACAGAUUGAAGGAAAUCUUGUGCUUUAUUAUCAAGAUCUGCUGGAGGUAGAAUCUAUCAGUCUUACCUUUGUCUUGAAGUCCAGUAAUUCUGCAUUCCAGUGAUUAAUUUGCUAGGAAGUUCCAUCAUUCAGCACCCUUGAAUUGCAUCACUGAGUUUUUAUGAAACAUUUUUAUUACUGACUGAAAUAUUUGGAAAAAAAAUGGUUUAACGACUCUUGAGGCACAUAUUCUGAGUGAAAAAUAAAUAAAUAAAAUAGCCCA